AUAUGGAAGUUCCCAGGCUAGGGGUCGAAUCAGAGGUAUAUCUGCCAGCCUACACCACAGCCACAGCAACGCCAGAUCUGAGUCACAUCUGAGACCUACACCACAGCUCAUGCAACACUGGAUCCUUAACCCGCUAGUGAGGCCAGGGAUCAAACCUAAUGGAUUAAAUGUUAUUUAAAAAUGUAACAUUGUUAAUAGUUAUACAGUUUAGAAGGGAUAUUUCAUACCUAGUUAUAUCAUUUAAUCCACACAAUAAUCCUAUACAAUUUGUUUACAAUUUUCAUUCUGAUUUAACAGAUGAGGAAACUUUACGUGUAUUAAAGCGAUUUGUUCGAAUUUAUGGAGCUGGCAAGUUAUGCUGCUUAAACUUAACCAGAAAUGUUUUUCCACUUAGUCACUGCUCUUCAUCAUGUUUACACCAAUGGAAUAGUAAUAAAUAAAAAUAAUACAAUUCUGCUUUUUGCGAUCACUGUUUUCAUGAGUUCAUACUGAAAACACAACCAUUUUGGAAUCGGACAGAUGGAUAUUUAAAUCUGAACUUGGUCAUCACUAGUUUUGUGACACUGGGCAUGUUACUUAUCUCACUGGUAAAAUGUGGGUAAUAAUUUAAUACCAUCGUAAAGACUACUCAAAACAAAGUUUGUACAAAAUUAAAGACGGUGCCUGUCACAUGGAUAAUCCUCAAUGAAUGGGGGGCUUAUCUGGAGAGAGCUUGGUAAAAACCGGUAUUUUUAUAACUAUGCUUGGACUAUUCAAAAUAUUCUAGGGCAUUCCCAUCACGGCUCAGUGGAAAAGAGUCUGACUAGUAUCCAUGAGGAUGUGGGCUUGAUCCCUGGCCUUGCUCAGUGGAUUAAAAAAAUUCUAGUUGUGGAUUAAAUAGAAUAAUAUACUAUAUAUAUAUUUAUUUAUGAAGAGUUUAGUAUGAUCUGAUACAUGGUAAUACUUAAAAAAAAGUUAAUUAUUCUUUUUCUGUUGUUGUUGUCUUUUAGGGCCGCACCCACAGCCUAUGGAGGUUUCCAGGCUAAGGUCCAAUAGGAACUGUAGCCACCGGCCUACCUCAGAGCCAUAGCAACUCAGGAUCUGAGCCGCAUCUGCGACCUACACCACGCCUCUCUGCAAUGCUGGAUCCUUACCCUACUGAGUGAGGCCAGGGAUCAAACCCACAUCCUCAUGGAUGCUAGUCGGUUUUAUUAACCACUGUGCCACAACGGGAAUUCCAAGUUAAUUAUUCUUAUUGCUAAUUUGAAAACAACAGCUGAGUUUUCUUGUUCCUUUACCUCAUUCUUUUAUUGUCCUCUCCUAGUAGAGGCUGACUUUUAAACACUGUAAAAUGCAUACCUCUUCAGUUUGAGAAAAUGUCAGAAUGAGUAAGAAAAGGUUUGUUCGUCCUGUCGAUAUUCCUUCACUAAUAAGAGGGGUUUAACAAUUGAUUCACUAUAAGGACCUACUACUCAUCUCUCUAAGCACCAAAUCAGGUAGAAAACAUUGAGAACUUGGGCUGGUGGGAUUGGGUGAAAUAUUGAGGAAGAAAAGAAACUAGAGCAGAAAGGUAUGCUUCAAAAUUCAUUUGGCCUCAUGAGCCAAAAGAUGACUCAGUAGGAAAAUCAGCAAUAUUUGUACCAUCCUUUUGACUUAGUGUGUGGUUCUGAUUAACUUUUCCUUCUUCUUGAUAAUACUUCACCUACACAACUUUUAAAAUUUCCAGUUGUAGGUCCUAUCAGCCAGAUUACAUUAUUUCAUCAUCACUUUGAUAAUUAUUAUUAUAAAUCAGUAAUGACUAUGAAUAAAGUAUUCAGUCCCUGCAAUCCUUUUAUUAAAUAUUUCCUUCCAAAUUCUGCACACAGAAUGUAACUUUAAACAAAGACUCUCAUGAAGCGGGAGAUGAAAUAGAAGAUAACCACCAUUAGUACAAAAUAGAGUUCUGUGAAUUUCACUAAAAAUUGCAAAUUCAUUUUCUGCUUCCUUGGGAUUUGUUUCCUCAAUGGUUUAAUAUCCUUUACCUUCUAAAAGAUGUGUUCAAGGACAGGUCUCUUGAUCAGAGGCUCCAUCUCAAUAGGGAGAUUCUAAGGACUGACUAGGAAGAUUUUCCUAAGAAUGACAACCUCCUGUUACAUGGCAAUAAAGUGCUUUAAUUACUUUUCUCAAAGCUCUCCUCAGUUUUCACGAACCCGCGAGAAUGAAAUAAGGCUCCUUGGGACUCAACAUAAAGGCCGAGCGUGAGAAUCACUUGCAUUACUCCUCCAGGCCUGGGUGUGUGUGGAGGCGCAGGCCGUGCUGAUCUCUAGAGCAGGUAAGGUCAGAGCUGUGCAUCCAAGCUUCCGGAAAGAUGACAGUCGAGGCUCAGAAAAGAGAAAAGCAGAUGGCCAUUCUGCUGGCAUUCUGGAUCUGAUUCCAGGAGGAGGGAUGGCUGUUUGGGCAGUUCAGAAUUUAAUGCCAAUCUUCCUUCAAAAAUCUUGGGGAUCUUGCCUGGUUCCUGCCUCUAACUUUCGUAACUGAUGAAAAUUCAGUGAGCUGAACUUGAGGAGUUCAAGGGAUCCUCAAGCAGGAUUGCAUUAUCUCAAUCUCUGUCCCCUCUCAGUUUCCCCAUCAAUGCAAGGUGGCAAAACCUACUGAUUCAAAACUGUUGUGAAACAGAUGAGGCAGUAAUAUGAGUGUGAAAAGUAAUUUAGAAGCCAAAUCAGUGAGGCUCUUGUGUUUUUUCCUCUCUGCCUGGCUCUACAGACGAGGAGAACCUGCUUAGCAACCUCUCAGGCACAGAUAGAUUUGAAGUUUGGUUUCCUCUGAGAAGCAUGUAUGUACAAACGCACACAAGGAAAGUGGGUGUUUCUUUCCCAGCACAUCAUGUCUUGUUUCGGCAACAUUACACCAGAGUUUGCAAGAUGCUUCCUAACAGGUGUUCCUGGACAAGAGGCCUUCCACACAUGGAUGUUAAUGCCCAUCUUCCUUCCAGGCACAGUGUACUCCUAUUGGUGGUGAUUCUGGAGCCACGCCUCCAUGUGCCCUUACACGAUUUCCUCCCCGUGGUGUCCAUCCAUUGGACUGGGGUUGUCUCCUUCCACAAUGCCUCAGUGUCCUCUGCUUCAAUGCCCUUAAAAUCACCCUUGUUGCAUGCAUCAUCCAGCUCUUCUUCCUCUGCAGCUCUUUACAGAAUCCUCAGUACUCAGAGUCUUGUCUUUGGGUGGAUUUGUUGCCCCUAAUAAUUCACCAUUCUAUCAGACUUUAUGAUUCAAAAGAUUGGUGGAGUGAUGGUCCUUAGAAUGUAGAUCAGCCUCUAUCGACCUCUCUUUCUCAUUAAGAGGCUUUCAACUUGCAAAGUCAGUGUCCCAUUCCAUUCGUAUUGCUUCCACUCUGAUGUGCUUCAGGGAGCAUGUUCUGACUCUUGGAUGAACAGUUAAGGAGGCAUAGCCGCUCUCAUUCUGAUCACAAGGUUCAUGUGCAUCUCUGUAUCUGCUCUGUACUCAACAGACUUCCUCGUGGGGAGUGAACAAAGCCUCUAGCACAGGUGUCCCACGCUGGGGCAAUUGUAGUCUUUUACAUUCCCUGACAUUCCUCUAAUUGCCCACAGGUUUUUCCACAAGCAUUCACCAUCUGUCUACCCACGGAUGUCCAGCUUCCAUUUCCCUGGUGCCCUGUGCCACCCCAUCAUAUAUGCUGACCAAAUCCGCAAGGCCAUCCUCAAGCUAUUCCAAACAGUAUUGAAAGGGGUUUGAUGGAGGCGGCUCUUCCUGAAUUUAAUGACCUCACUUUUAGAGGUGAACUUUCCUUUCCCCUCUUUAAAAGUUGAUUUCUCUGCUAGGAUCAGCUUGAUUUAGUUGUUUUUUCUGCUGCUUUUCUUCCCCACAUUGAGCCAUGUUUCUUCUCUACCAAUAAAAACAACAGCAAGAGCAAUGCUUACUGAACACUCACUAUGCUCAAGUUCUACAUUUAAAAAGCUCUUUUAAGUUCAUACCUUUAUUUAGCUUGACCCACAGCUCUUCAAAAUGGGUACUUAUAAUUCCAAUUUUGAAAUGAAAUAAUUAAAGGACUAGAACUUUAAAGGUCUUGCUUAAGAAAGAAGCAGAAUUUGGAUGUAGGUCCAUUGAUUCUAAUUCUGUGUUUUUCUUGGUUAUCAUGCUGCCUCUAAAAGCAGAAGACGCAGUCCAUGUCACAGUCUAAGGAGAGCUGGACAUCCAGUUCUACUCCUAGAACACUUCUCAGGCACACUGAAGACCAGUCAGUUCCUGAAGAAGAGGCACUAUGAUCCUAUCCUUUCUCAGUUGUCUUCACUCCCUCUGCUUUCUCAGAACAAUUGUGAUAACAGAUACUUAUUUCUGAGUAGAACAGACUAUACAGAGACAUGCUUCAGACAUGGAGCUUCCUCUGCAGGGUAUGGUCUUUGGUAUUUGGCAAAAUCUAAGGUUCAGUUGCUGGAGUUUUGACAUGUUACAAAGGGCGCAAUUUAAAUUUAAGUAGGGGGAGUGGUUUCUAGAAGGCAGAGGCUCAGCCACACAGAAUGUACCAGCAGUGGCAUUAUCUGUCCAAUUCAUUUGCCACAUUUUCUAUGAGUGCCCUGAUAGAUAAUUGGUAGAGAAGAGAAUAGUGUCUGUGUAUGUGCCCAAACGUGUAUCAGUCACCUCAUUCCCCUCAUCGUUACUGCUUUCGUCAUUUGGCAGAAUCGGCUACAGAGCCACCAUUCAGAACACAGUUGGACCAGUACCAUACUCUUUUUAUUACUAUAACUUUGUAGUAUAGUCUCAAAUCAGGGAGCCUGAUUCCUCCAGCUGUGAUUCUCUUUCUUAGGAUUCCUGUUUGGGGUCUUUUGUAUUUCCAUAUAAAAUAACAAAGCUUUUUGGUCUAGUUGUGUGAAAAAUGCCAUUGGUAAUUUGGUUGGCAUUAUAUUGAAUCUGUCAGUUGUCUUGGAUAGUAUACUUAUUCUGACAAUAUUGAUUCUUCCAAUCCAAGAGCAUGGUAUAUCUUUCCAUCUGUUUGUGUCAUCUUUGAUUUCUUUCAUCAUUGUCUUCCAGUUUUCAGAGUACAGGUCUUAUGUCUCUUUAGGUAGUUUUAUUCCUGGAUAUUUUACUAUUUUUGAUGAAAUGGUAAAUGGGAUUUUUUUCCCCUAAUUUUUCUUUCUGAUCUUUCAUUGUUACUUUAUAUGAAUGCAGUAUAUUUCUGUGUCUUAAUUUGUGUCCUUCCACUUUACCAAAUUCAUUGGUGAGCUGUUUUCUGGUGGCAUAUUUAGGGUUUUCUAUGUAUAGUAUCGUGUUAUCUGCAAACAGUGAUAGUUUUACUUCUUUUUUCCAAUUUGUUUUCUUUUUUUCCAUUUCUGCCAUGGCUAGGACUUUCAAAAUUAUGCUUAAUAGAAGUGGCAAGAGGACCUCCUUGUCUUGUCCCUGAUCUUAGUGGGAAUUCUUUCAGCUUUUCACCAUUGAGAACGAUGUUCGCUGUGAGUUUGUUACAUACGGUCUUUAUUAUGUUGAGGUAGGUUCCCUCUAGGCCCACUGUCUGGAGGGUUUUUAUCAGAAAUGAGUAUUGGAUUUUGUCAAAAGCUUUUCCUUCAUCUAUUGAGAUUAUCAUAUGAUUUUUAUUCUUCAGUUUGUUAAUGUGGUAUAUCACCCUGAUUGAUUUGUGGAUAUUGAAAAAACCUUGCAUGCCUGGGAUAAAUCCCACUUGAUCAUGGUGUAUGAUCCUCUUUAUGUAUUUCUGGAUUUGGUUUGAUAGUAUUUUGUUGAGUAUUUUGGAUCUAUGUGCAUCACUGAUAUGCAAAACGAUAGAAAGCCCAGAAAUAAACCCACACAACUAUGGUCAACUAAUGUAUGACAAAGGAGGCAAGAACACACAGUGGAAGAAAGAUAGUCUCCUGAAUAAGUUUUCCUGGGAAACUGGAAAGCUACAUGCAAAAGAAUAAAAUUAGAACACUCUAACACUAUAC
rnacentral:lncRNA from 1 species